CGAGCGAACGGAUUGGAGCUUGCUCUUGUGAUUUAGCGGCGGACGGGUGAGUCACACGUGGGUAACCUGCCCAUAACAGUGGGAUAACUCCUGGAAACCGGGGCUAAUACCGGAUAAUGUUUUGAACCGCGGGGUCAAAAUUGAAAGGCGGCUUCCGCUGUCUCUUAUGGAUGGACCCGCGUCGCAAUAUCUAUUUGGUGAGGUAACGGCUCACCAAGGCCACGAUGCAUAGCCCACCUGAGAGGGUGAUCGGACACACUGGGACUGACACACGGCCCACACUCCUACGGGAGGCAGCAAUAGGGAAUCUUCCCCAGUGGACGAAAGUCUGAGAGAGCAACGCCGCGUGAGAGAUGAAGGCUUUCAGGUCGUAGAACUCUGUUGUUAGGGAAAAACAAGUGCUUGUUGAAUAGGGUGGCCCCUUGACGGUACCUAACCAAAAAGCCAGCGCUAACUACGUGCCAACACCCGCGAAAAUACUUAUGUGGAACGCUUUAUCCAGAAUUAUUGCGCGUAGGGCUCGCACACGUGGUUUCUUAACUCUGAUGUGAACCCCCACGGCUCACCCGUAGAGUGUCAGUGGACUCUGGAAGACGUGAGUGCAAACAAGAGUGUGCAUUUCCAUGUGUAGCGGUGAAGUGCAUAGAUAUGGGCAAAACACUGUCGCGACGCUACUGUCUGCUCUGUACUGACCUGAG
rnacentral:rRNA from 1 species